rnacentral:rRNA from 1 species
AUUGAACGCUGGCGGCAUGCCUUACACAUGCAAGUCGAACGGCAGCACGGGUGCUUGCUCCUGGUGGCGAGUGGCGAACGGGUGAGUAAUAUAUCGGAACGUACCCUAGAGUGGGGGAUAACGCAGCGAAAGUUGCGCUAAUACCGCAUACGAUCUACGAUGAAAGUGGGGGAUCGCAAGACCUCAUGCUCAUGGAGCGG